rnacentral:rRNA from 1 species
GAUGAACGCUGGCGGCGUGCCUAACACAUGCAAGUCGAGCGAAGCGAUCUGAUGGAAGUUUUCGGAUGGAAGUCAGAUUGACUGAGCGGCGGACGGGUGAGUAACGCGUGGGUAACCUGCCUUUGAGAGGGGAAUAACAAUCUGAAAAGAUUGCUAAUACCGCAUAACAUAUAUGAAUCGCAUGGUUUGUAUAUCAAAGAUUUUAUCGCUCAAAGAUGGACUCGCGUCCGAUUAGUUAGUUGGUGAGGUAACGGCUCACCAAGACCGCGAUCGGUAGCCGGACUGAGAGGUUGAACGGCCACAUUGGGACUGAGACACGGCCCAG